rnacentral:lncRNA from 1 species
UAGCACCCAUCUCCUCCUCUAGCGCACCUCACCUCCUCCGCCACCCCUUCCACCUCCGCCGCCCUGCACCUCCGCCACCCCCUCCACCUUCGUCGCCCUUCUCCUCCAGCCGAUACCCACCUCCGUCGCCCCUCCAUCCCAGCCGACACCUACCUCCGCCGCCCCUCCACUCCAGCCGACACCUCAUCCAACGUCUUCUCCACCACUCAAAGGUUAUGUGCUUUGAAGAAAGAUUUCAAGCAAGUUAUGAGGGAGAUUCAAAUCAAACAGGAAGCGUUAGGAGUACAUGACAUACUGAAAAUGUUACGACUCAGGGGAUCUAAGAGUGAUU